rnacentral:lncRNA from 1 species
UUUAUUCUAAAUGGUCCAUUUUAACAUACAUUUUUUUCUUAAUUUUAUUUCCAUAGCUUAAAAUUACUUUUAGCUUUUGAUAUUUGGGAUGAAGGUUGACCACUAUCUCAUGGUCAACUUGACCUUUUCUUGGAAUUUUAUUUCCCAUUAUUUAUUUAUUUUGGAUUAAUUUUUGACCUAGCUUGGUUGGUUGACUUUUGUUUUGAC